UACGAAGGGUGCAAGCGUUGUUCGGAAUUACUGGGCGUAAAGCGCGCGUAGGCGGGUUUGUAAGUUGAUUGUGAAAGCCCUGGGCUCAACCUGGGAACAGCAGUCAAAACUGCAAAUCUUGAAUGUCUGAGAGGAUAGCGGAAUAACCGGUGUAGUAGUGAAAUACGUAGAUAUCGGUUGGAACACCUGAGGCGAAGGCGGCUAUCUGGCGGUACAUUGACGCUGAGGCGCGAAAGCGUGGGGAGCAAACAGG
rnacentral:rRNA from 1 species